GCCACCCACACAGCCCCGGCAGCCGCCGGCCCCGCAGGCAGGGCUGGACAAGCAGUGCAAGCCCUGGUGCAAGUAAUUAUACAAUGGUAGAACUGCUUGGAUUGGAAGGGAGAGCUGCUGGGCUCACACCCACUCUGCAUCCAUCCUCCUCAGCUGCCACCUGGGGGCACAGGGUUGGUGAUGGCAGGGUACAGUUUCUUGGCUUUGUGGGGACUUCUUGGCUGCUGGGUGCAGCCAGAACACCGCAAAUGCUUUCCCCUGCCUGCCUGCCCCCUCCUCUGCACGCAGGGCAUGACUGUAACCACUGCAGCCCCGCGUCUGCCUGAGCCUCAGCCCCAGGGAGAUGGGUAAGCCAGUCCAACCAGGUGAGGAGCCAGGCUCAGCUGGGAAGCACGGGGAGACCUGUGCUCCCAGUUACCUCCUAAGCAGGUCAGGACGAGGGCCCUUCAUCUCCCAAGCCUUUGGCCUAGUUAUUUUCAUUACUGUCCCCACGCACCCUGCCUGUAACAGCAGGGAUUGAGAUGCCUAUUACAGCACAAGAGGCUCUGCCCUGUCUGCCAGGAGCGCACAAGUCAGAAAGAAAGGGCUCUGAGAGGCCAACCUACAACCACAGAAUGGCUUGGGUUGGAAGGGAACUCAAAGAUCACCUAGUUCCAACCUCUGGCACUGAGUCUGAUCCCAUAGGCUCCAUGCAUAUUUCAUAGAAUCACUCAAGAUGGAAAAGACCCCUCAAAUUCCCAAGUCCGACCCCAGCCCACCCCACCGUGCCCACUGACACGUCCCUCAGUGCCACGUCCCCAUGGCUCUGGGACACCUCCAGGGAUGGUGACCCCAGCACUCCCUGUGCAGCUGUGCCACUGCAGCACCACUCUGAGAAGAAACGUUCCCUAAUAACCAACCUGAAUUUGGGGCAGAGCAGAUGAGAGGACGGAAGGUCCCAACGGCAGGCUCCCUUUGACUUCCUGAACUGGGGAGCGAACACAAUCACUCCCAGCUCCAAAAAAGAGCCAGAGAUUGCAGGAUACACACAAACCCCAUGAGCCACCAGGAGCAGGGCCCAGCCAGGCUGGCAUCCAGGCGGACACACUUGAGUGGAUCACAGAUCGCCAGGAGAUAGCGGCACCCAGGGAGCACUCAGAGACGGGCCAGCCCUCCCACAGCUCAGCGUCCCACCAGCCUGGCUCUGCCAAAAAUCAGAGCCCUUGAGGUACGGUGCUGAGCUGCUCCAUCAUCUCUCACCCAGGCUCUGCUUGACACACAGCCACCUCCACCCGCAGCUGAAACUUUCCAACAGGUCAACAAUGGUGUUGCUUUUGAAAGUCCCAAGAGUUUCUUUCCCCCUGAAAGAUGCAAGCAAAGGGUUGAAACAAUGCCCUUCCUCACGCAGCAUCCUCAGCGAGCUUCAAACACCACCCAAGGAAAAAGCUAGAGAAUAAAGAAGCCCAAAAAGCAACCUGAGUCCUCCAAGCC
ensembl:lncRNA